rnacentral:lncRNA from 1 species
UUUGACCAUUGAAAUGAAAAGACAAGAAAAAACGAGUUGGGAUCCAAUAUACAGAGGUAAAGUGGUUAGUAUGAAGUUUAUUUUGCGGUAAGUUGAUCAAUUGACCAAUAGAAUACUGACACGCAGGCAGACGAUGUUGUAUGUGUGUUAGUAUUCUAUUGGCCAAUUAACUAACUUACCAAAAAAAUAACUUCAUGCUAACCUGAUCCCUUGUUUAGUAUAUUGUUAUUUGUAAACAUGGGAUAAUUAAAGGGAGUAAACAUUUAGUAAAAACAACGGCCCUUAAUUGCCUCAUACACACUUCAUAUAUAUGGUUGAGCAAACUAAAAUAGAGGAGAAAACGUGAUUGAUUAGAAAGGGGAGGCCGGGAGGGGAGUCAUAGUUCAAUUUUUCUCUGUUUUGAAUUUUCAUUUAUUUAUUUUGACACUUUAUUUAAAAUAAUCCAUCAAUGACGAGUAUAUUAAAUAUAAUAAUUUUAUUCACAAAGUAUUCUAAAAAUAUAUUAAAUUCAAUAAAGAAUAUAAUUCUAAUGAAAUUAAUUUAACCAAUGAUCGACAAUCUAGGAGGUCUUGAAACCAUGUAGGAUUUUUAUGUCUAAUAACUCUGGGAAGAGACAACUCCCAUACUAUUAAGUUAUUUUAUUAUAAAUUUACAAGAUUUUGAAAUAUAAUAAAUAUGUUGAUAGCUACACAUGGAGUAUCAUUUUUAGAUUAAAGUGGAAUUUGAAAGAUAGCUACAUAUUUGGUGGGAUGGGUUAAAAGGUAGAGAGAGCCCUAGCCCUAGCCCUAGCCCUAGGAAUGAUCGAUCCUCUUAGAGAUAACAUAACAUGCCUUGAUGCCAAUGCC